AUUGAACGCUGGCGGCAGGCCUAACACAUGCAAGUCGAGCGGUAGAGAGGAGCUUGCUUCUCUUGAGAGCGGCGGACGGGUGAGUAAUGCCUAGGAAUCUGCCUGGUAGUGGGGGAUAACGUUCGGAAACGGACGCUAAUACCGCAUACGUCCUACGGGAGAAAGUGGGGGAUCUUCGGACCUCACGCUAUCAGAUGAGCCUAGGUCGGAUUAGCUAGUUGGUGAGGUAAAGGCUCACCAAGGCGACGAUCCGUAACUGGUCUGAGAGGAUGAUCAGUCACGCUGGAACUGAGACACGGUCCAGACUCCUACGGGAGGCAGCAGUGGGGAAUAUUGGACAAUGGGCGCAAGCCUGAUCCAGCCAUGCCGCGUGUGUGAAGAAGGUCUUCGGAUUGUAAAGCACUUUAAGUUGGGAGGAAGGUCAGUAGCUUAAUACGUUGCUGAUUUGACGUUACCGACAGAAUAAGCACCGGCUAACUCUGUGCCAGCCGCCGCUGUAAGAC
rnacentral:rRNA from 1 species